rnacentral:lncRNA from 10 species
AUAGUCGCUUGUUCUCCGCCCGCGGUGGACCAGCUGCGUAACGGUUCACACACUGAUGGCGCCUGGAGGUUUGGCGAAAUACUGACAGGAUGCGACGUCAACGGGAGCGCAGGGCCAAGAUACCCUUUAUAUCAAACCGUCUAUCCUGGAGCAGAAAAAUCCUGUCUUCAUUGCUAUAGCUACAGAUUCAGAAAUGAGCAUGUAACAAAUUCAGGCCAAAGAGAGGUGACCUGAUGAUGUGCCACACACAUUCCCUC